GAUGAAGAACGUAGUGAAAUGCGAUAAAUAAUGUGAAUUGCAGAAUUCAGUGAAUCAUCGAAUCUUUGAACGCACCUUGCGCCCUUUGGCCAUUCCGAAGGGCAUGCCUGUUUGAGUAUCAUGAACACCUCAACUCUCAUGGCUUGCCAUGAUGAGCUUGGACUUUGGGGGUCUUGCUGGCCUGUGGUCGGCUCCUCUCAAAUGAAUCAGCUUGCCAGUGUUUGGUGGCAUCACAAGUGUGAUAACUAUCUGCGCUCGUGGUUUCCAUCAGAUAACCUCCAGUGAUGGAGGUUCGCUGGGGCUCAUAAAUGUCUCUCCUAAGUGAGGACAGCUCUUUUAAUGUUUGAUCUCAAAUCAGGUAGGACUACCCGCUGAACUUAAGCAUAUCAAUAAGCGGAGGAA
rnacentral:misc_RNA from 1 species